rnacentral:rRNA from 1 species
AUUGAACGCUGGCGGCAUGCCUUACACAUGCAAGUCGAACGGUAACAGGCCGCAAGGUGCUGACGAGUGGCGAACGGGUGAGUAAUACAUCGGAACGUGCCCAGUCGUGGGGGGUAACGCAGCGAAAGCUGCGCUAAUACCGCAUACGAUCUAUGGAUGAAAGCGGGGGACCGUAAGGCCUCGCGCGAUUGGAGCGGCCGAUGUCAGAUUAGGUAGUUGGUGGGGUAAAGGCUCACCAAGCCAACGAUCUGUAGCUGGUCUGAGAGGACGACCAGCCACACUGGGACUGAGACACGGCCCAGACUCCUACGGGAGGCAGCAGUGGGGAAUUUUGGACAAUGGGCGCAAGCCUGAUCCAGCAAUGCCGCGUGCAGGAAGAAGGCCUUCGGGUUGUAAACUGCUUUUGUACGGAACGAAACGGUCCUGGUUAAUACCCGGGGCUAACGACGGUACCGUAAGAAUAAGCACCGGCUAACUACGUGCCAGCAGCCGCCGUAAGAC